GACAGGGUCUCGACGUAAUGUGGAGAUAAGCUUUUAGUGAAUCGUAUAUCAUAGCAUUGACUGUAGUUUGGUGGAACGGGCUACGUUUAGAACAGAGAUUUUGUGUCAGAAAUUUCCUUCUGUCUUGGAUGUUCCAUCACCCUACAUCUUAAGAAGUCAUAAGUAGAUCACCUUCCUAUAAACUUGUACCUCAUCUAGCUUGCUAGUUUUUCAUGCUUCUUAUACUCUUUUCUUGGUUUUGGUCUGCCAUGAGUCUGAAUUCCUUUUGACUUGGCACUGUCGAAACCUCUUUAGCUUUGUUUUCUUUUAAUCUGCUGCUUGCAAGAAAUAAUAUCUUGGAUCGCUUUGUUUGCUUCGACAAUUGUACUUUUUUCCAUCUUCAUUUUAUAAUUAU
rnacentral:lncRNA from 1 species